AUUGAACGCUGGCGGCAGGCCUAACACAUGCAAGUCGAGCGAGCGGCGGACGGGUGAGUAAUGUAUGGGAAACUGCCCGAUAGAGGGGGAUAACUACUGGAAACGGUGGCUAAUACCGCAUACUAUCGGAUGAACCCAUAUGGGAUUAGCUAGUGGGUGGGGUAACGGCUCACCAAGGCGACGAUCUCUAGCUGGUCUGAGAGGAUGACCAGCCACACUGGAACGGAGACACGGCCCAGACUCCUACGGGAGGCAGCAGUGGGGAAUAUUGCACAAUGGGCGCAAGCCUGAUGCAGCCAUGCCGCGUGUAUGAAGAAGGCCUUAGGGUUGUAAAGUACUUUCAGCGGGGAGGCGUUACCCGCAGAAGAAGCACCGGCUAACUCCGUGCCAGCAGCCGCGGUAAUUC
rnacentral:rRNA from 1 species